CCUACGGGAGGCUGCAGUGGGGAAUAUUGGACAAUGGGGGGAACCCUGAUCCAGCCAUGCCGCGUGUGUGAAGAAGGCCCUCGGGUUGUAAAGCACUUUCAGUGAGGAAGAACGCCUGGUGGUUAAUACCCAUCAGGAAAGACAUCACUCACAGAAGAAGCACCGGCUAACUCCGUGCCAGCAGCCGCGGUAAUACGGAGGGUGCGAGCGUUAAUCGGAAUUACUGGGCGUAAAGUGCGCGUAGGUGGCUUGAUAAGCCGGUUGUGAAAGCCCCGGGCUCAACCUGGGAACGGCAUCCGGAACUGUCAAGCUAGAGUGCAGGAGAGGAAGGUAGAAUUCCCGGUGUAGCGGUGAAAUGCGUAGAGAUCGGGAGGAAUACCAGUGGCGAAGGCGGCCUUCUGGACUGACACUGACACUGAGGUGCGAAAGCGUGGGUAGCAAACAGGAUUAGAUACCCGUGUAGUC
rnacentral:rRNA from 1 species